UACGAAGGGGGCUAGCGUUGUUCGGAAUCACUGGGCGUAAAGCGCACGUAGCGGAUGUGCCAGUCAGGGGUGAAAUCCCGGAGCUCAACUUCGGAACUGCCUCUGAUACAGCACGUCUUGAGUCCGGAAGAGGUGGGUGGAAUUCCUAGUGUAGAGGUGAAAUUCGUAGAUAUUAGGAAGAACACCGGUGGCGAAGGCGGCCCACUGG
rnacentral:rRNA from 1 species